rnacentral:rRNA from 1 species
UACGUAGGGGGCAAGCGUUGUCCGGAAUUAUUGGGCGUAAAGAGCGUGUAGGCGGUCCGGUAAGUCGGCUGUGAAGUCCAGGGCUCAACCCUGGGAUGCGGUCGAUACUGCCGGACUAGAGUUCGGAAGAGGCGAGUGGAAUUCCCGGUGUAGCGGUGAAAUGCGCAGAUAUCGGGGAGGAACACCUAUGGCGAAGGCGCUCG